GACGAACGCUGGCGGCGUGCUUAACACAUGCAAGUCGAACGGAAAGGCCUGCUUUCCCUUGUGGAUUGCGGGUACUCGAGUGGCGAACGGGUGAGUAACACGUGAGUGAUCUGCCCCCAACUUGGGUAUAAGCUUGGGAAACUGGGUCUAAUUCCCGAUAGGACUGCAGGGUGGUUCCUGUGGUGGAAAACGAUUUUCUAGUGGUUGGGGAUGAGCUCGCGGCCUAUCAGCUUGUUGGUGGGGUAAUGGCCUACCAAUGCGGCGACGGGUAGCCGGCCUGGGGGGGUGGACGGCCACAUUGGGACUGAGAUACGGCCCAGACUCCUACGGGAGGCAGCAGUGGGGAAUAUUGAGCAAUGGGCGGAAGCCUGAUGCAGCGACGCCGCGUGGGGGAUGACGGCCUUCGGGUUGUAAACUCCUUUCGACCGCGAGGAAGCCACCUGGUUGGAAGGGUGGUGACGGUAGUGGUAGAAGAAGCACCGGCUAACUACGUG
rnacentral:rRNA from 1 species